AGUUAGAGGGAGGAUUCGAACCUCCGAUACUAGAUCCUAAAUCUAAAGCAGUAACCCCUUUGCUACCCUAAC
rnacentral:tRNA from 1 species